UUUCGCAAUGCCCGAAAGGGUGACGAAGCGACGCCGCGUGUGGGAAGAAGGCCUUCGGGUUGUAAACCACUGUCGGGAGUUAGGAAAUGUAAGGGUGCUAAUAGUAUCCUUACUUGACUAAGGCUCCGGAGGAAGCCACGGCUAACUCUGUGCCAGCAGCCGCGGUAAUACAGAGGCGGCAAGCGUUGUUCGGAAUUAUUGGGCGUAAAGAGCACGUAGGCGGCCUUGUAAGUCAGUUGUGAAAGCCUUCUGCUUAACGGAAGGACAGCAGCUGAUACUGCAAGGCUAGAGUGCGGAAGGGGAGAGUGGAACUUCUGGUGGAGCGGUGAAAUGCGUAGAUAUCAGAAGGAACACCGGCGGCGAAGGCGACUCUCUGGUCCGUAACUGACGCUGAGUGUGCGAAAGCUAGGGGAGCAAACGGGAUUAGAUACCCCGGUAGUCCUAGCCGUAAACGAUGGGCACUAAGUAGAGGGGUUUUA
rnacentral:rRNA from 1 species